AAAAAAAGAAGAAUCCAAACCUGCCCAGAGAGAGGCCUGGCUUUUGCCCUCCGCCCUCGGGAAGUCAUCUCUGAGCCCUUGGUGUCUCGCGCAUGAGGAGGGUCUGACUGCCUGGGGCCCUCAGGCCAGCCCGACAGCAAGAUGGAUUUGGGGUGGAGUUUGGGCCAGGUGGUAUCCUUGAGCUUCCGGGGCUGGAGGCUGAGGUCAGCCACACAGAUCGGGGAGGAGUCCCCAGUAAGAACCCGGGACACCAAGAUCUGAGGAGGGUCCCUGGCUGGCAACACUCCCUGCGUGCCGGGAGGAGUGAAGGGAGAGGACAGCUGAUAACUGGUCUCCGUGGAGCCUUCCGGGCCCUCUUCCUGGCUGCUUCCAGCGCGUCCUUCUCUGUGAUAAGCCGUGACUGUGAACAUGGCUGUGAGUCCUUCUAGAGAACUCGCAAGGCCACCGCCUCCUCCCAGCUUAGCGGCUGACGGCUGCAC
rnacentral:lncRNA from 10 species